AACAACUCUUCUGUGAGACAAUCAUUUGGUUCAUUUACAUGAAAAGUCUUAAAUAGCAAAAAUGUUGCUUCCAAUUUACAUCAUACAGUGUCCCCACAACAGAGAACAAUGGCUUCCUCAAUGGAAGUUAAUGCAAAGGAGAGGCACACUGAUAUUAAAAAACAACAACAAAAAAACUUUUCAGCACACUUUGCAAAUAUUAACCAAUUAAUCUAAUUUAAAGUAAAACCCGGAAAUGCUUCCUGGGCUGGGAGUCUUCACGGGUCUCCUCAGGUAAUAUCAGUAUCUUCAGAGUCCAAUCAAACAGGAAUGAGCCUCUUGAAGAGGUUAUGGUGACACUGUUUUCAGAUCCUUCCAUUUUGUCCUAUUUCCAGGGUAAGCACAAUUAGCUUGAUGGGGGGGUUGUUCUCGCGUUUUAAAAAACAUUGCAAAUGAGUGCACGUCUGUGAACCAUGUAGGAACCAUGACCCAGCACUGGAUAAACAGCAUACCUGAUCUGGUGGUAAUAUACCGUCUCCCUCUCGGACGUGUUAAUGAUUAUACACCUUUGUGGUCUUUAAGGGGCUUAGGUAUGUAUCUUUUUUUGUGUUCUGGAGGCUGUGACCACCUGCUGUAUGUACAAUAUGCUGGUUACAUUUGUACACAUCUCCUUUCUUGAAUUUAAAGACCUAGCUAUUACAUCUUGUUUACUCAGUAUCAUUCCCCCAUUAAAAAAAAAAAAAAAACCUACAUGAACUGAACAUGCCAUGUUUCAAUCUGGCCCCAGUGGCUUUUUCUCUGAAAGCAAAACGUGUGUCUUUUACACCAGGGCUUUCUCCCCACCCCAGGGGGUGUCUUCCAUUCUUUUGUGGCUCAGUUUAAGGCGAAAAGGGCUCCAAACCACUAACUACCCAGAAGAGAGCCCCUUCUUCCACCUCCAGGGAGAAUUUCAGAUUUAAUGCAUCUGAAGAUAGCGUGCUCUCUUCUGACUUAUUUGCCACCAUAACGAGGAUAACAAAACACCACCUUGACUUCAAGAUCCUGGGUAGAGGCUCACGGUCUUUUGCAACCAUCUUUGGCGAGGCCUUGCUUCCUUCCACUCGAGCCUGUUGACUGGGGCUGCUUUUAACCCUUUCAUAUUUGCAGAGAAUGCAACCGUGUGACAGUAACUGAACAUUGGUCCAAAGUCUUUCCAAAGGGUCAAGGUUCACAAGGACUUGGACAGAAACCCAAAAAAUUCUCUGGGUUGGAAUUUCUCUUUGAUAUUGGUCCUGGUCUAAGGGGGAGUUGUUACUCACAUUUCAUUAUGUGUGCUCUUAGAUUUGAACAUCUGAUCAAAUUCAUGACCAUGGGGGAUAUGAAGACCCCAGACUUUGAUGACCUCUUGGCAGCAUUUGACAUCCCAGAUAUGGUCGAUCCCAAAGCAGCUAUAGAGUCUGGACACGACGACCAGGAAAGCCACAUCAAGCAGAACGCCCACGUGGAUGAUGACUCCCACACGCCGUCCUCCUCCGACGUCGGUGUCAGCGUUAUUGUUAAGAACGUUCGGAACAUUGACUCCUCAGAGGGUGCCGAGAAGGAUGGCCACAGUGCCACCGGCAACGGCUUGCACAACGGGUUUCUCACGGCGUCCUCUCUUGACACUUACAGUAAAGAUGGGUCGAAGUCCUUGAAAGGAGACGUGCCUACCUCAGAGGUGACUUUGAAAGACUCCACUUUCAGCCAGUUUAGUCCCAUCUCAAGUGCUGAAGAGUUUGACGACGAUGAGAAGAUAGAGGUGGAUGACCCCCCUGACAAAGAGGACAUGCGUUCAGGCUUUCGAUCGAAUGUGUUGGCUGGAUCGGUUCCCCAGCAGGACUAUGAUAAACUAAAGGCACUUGGGGGAGAAGGCCUAAGCAAAACUGGAAUCUCUACGUCAGGCAAUCUAGAUAAAAACAAAGUUGUUAAGAGAGAAACGGAAACAAAUUCUAUAAAUCUGAGUGUUUAUGAAUCUUUUAAAGUCAGAAAAGUGGAGGAUAAGUUGAAGGAAAACUCGGAAAAGGUGCUUGAAAACAGGGUCCACGAGGGGAAGCUGAGCUCUGAGAAGAAUGAUGCCUCCUUGGGCGGUGUGGCGCCGUCAAGGACCAAGCCAUCCUCCAAGCUUUCUUCCUGCAUUGCUGCAAUUGCAGCGCUUAGCGCUAAAAAGGCUGCUUCUGACUCCUCUAAAGAACCAGUGACCAAUUCCCGGGAGUCCUCACCAUUACCAAAAGAAGUAAAUGACAGCCCAAGAGCCAUCGAAAAGUCUCCUGAAUCCCAGAGUCUCAUUGAUGGGACGAAAAAAGUGUCCCUCAAGCAGCCGGAUAGUCCCAGGAGCAUUUCCAGUGAAAACAGUAGCAAGGGAUCGCCCUCCUCUCCUGCAGGGUCAACACCAGCAAUUCCCAAAGUCCGCAUCAAAACCAUCAAAACGUCUUCUGGGGAAAUCAAGAGAACCGUGACGAGGGUGUUGCCUGAAGUCGAUCUCGAUGCCGGUAAAAAGCCUUCUGAGCAGACGGGGUCCAUGGUGGCAUCCGUGACAUCACUUCUGUCGUCUCCGACCUCGGCCGCCGUUCUUUCCUCCCCACCCAGGGCACCUCUGCAGUCAGCGGUCGUCACCAACGCAGUGGCCCCUGCUGAGCUGACCCCCAAACAGGUUACCAUCAAGCCUGUGGCAACCGCCUUCCUCCCGGUGUCAGCUGUGAAGACAGCCGGAUCUCAAGUCAUCAAUUUGAAGCUCGCCAACAACACGACGGUCAAAGCCACGGUCAUAUCUGCUGCCUCGGUUCAGAGUGCCAGCAGUGCCAUCAUUAAAGCUGCCAACGCCAUCCAGCAGCAGACUGUCGUGGUGCCGGCCUCCAGCCUGGCCAACGCCAAACUCGUGCCAAAGACUGUGCACCUCGCCAACCUCAACCUUCUGCCUCAGGGCGCCCAGGCCACUUCCGAGCUCCGCCAAGUGCUCACCAAACCUCAGCAGCAAAUAAAGCAGGCAAUAAUCAAUGCCGCGGCCUCGCAGCCACCCAAAAAGGUGUCGCGGGUCCAGGUGGUGUCCUCCCUGCAGAGUUCUGUGGUGGAAGCUUUCAACAAGGUGCUGAGCAGCGUCAACCCAGUCCCAGUUUACAUCCCCAACCUCAGUCCCCCUGCCAACGCGGGCAUCACGCUCCCGACCCGCGGCUACAAGUGCUUGGAGUGUGGGGACUCCUUCGCCCUUGAAAAGAGCCUGACCCAGCACUACGACAGACGCAGCGUGCGCAUCGAAGUGACCUGCAACCACUGUACCAAGAACCUGGUGUUUUACAACAAGUGCAGUCUCCUGUCCCAUGCCCGUGGGCACAAGGAGAAGGGGGUGGUGAUGCAGUGCUCCCACUUGAUUUUGAAGCCAGUCCCGGCAGACCAGAUGAUCGUUUCUCCGUCAAGCAAUACUCCUGCUUCAUCUUCCACUCUGCCAAGCUCCGGGGGCGCUGGCACGCACACUGUAACAAAAAUUCAGUCUGGCAUAACUGGGACAGUCAUAUCAGCCCCUUCAAGCACACCCAUCAUUCCAGCUAUGCCUCUGGAUGAAGAUCCAUCCAAGCUCUGUAGGCAUAGUCUGAAAUGUUUGGAGUGUAAUGAAGUUUUCCAGGAUGAGACGUCACUGGCUACCCAUUUCCAGCAGGCCGCAGAUACCAGUGGACAAAAGACUUGCACUGUCUGCCAGAUGCUGCUUCCUAACCAGUGCAGUUACGCAUCUCACCAGAGAAUCCAUCAGCACAAAUCUCCCUACACCUGCCCCGAGUGUGGGGCCAUCUGCAGGUCGGUGCAUUUCCAGACCCACGUCACCAAGAACUGUCUGCACUACACGCGGAGAGUUGGUUUUCGAUGUGUACAUUGCAAUGUUGUGUACUCUGAUGUGGCCGCACUGAAGUCUCACAUUCAAGGUUCUCACUGUGAAGUCUUCUACAAGUGUCCUAUUUGUCCAAUGGCAUUUAAGUCUGCCCCAAGUACACAUUCUCAUGCCUACACACAGCAUCCUGGCAUCAAGAUAGGAGAACCAAAAAUAAUAUAUAAGUGUUCCAUGUGCGACACUGUAUUUACCCUGCAAACUCUGCUGUAUCGCCACUUUGAUCAACACAUCGAAAACCAGAAGGUGUCUGUUUUCAAGUGUCCAGACUGCUCUCUUUUAUAUGCACAGAAGCAACUCAUGAUGGACCAUAUCAAGUCUAUGCAUGGAACAUUGAAAAGUAUUGAAGGGCCUCCAAACUUGGGUAUAAACUUGCCUCUGAGCAUUAAGCCUACAACUCAAAAUGCAGCAAAUCAAAACAAAGAGGACACCAGAUCCAUGAACGGGAAAGAGAAAUUGGAAAAGAAAUCCCCAUCACCUGUGAAAAAGUCAGUGGAACCCAAGAAAGUGGCCAGUCCUGGAUGGACGUGUUGGGAGUGUGACCGCCUGUUCACGCAGAGAGAUGUUUACAUUUCCCACGUGAGGAAGGAGCACGGGAAGCCUAUCCACAAAUCAAAUCCACCCUUGAGGAAUAUACCAAAUCCAACUGCUUAUCAUCACCUGUCUUUCCAAGCCCAGCAAAUGAAAAAACACCCCUGCCGCCAGUGUGACAAAUCUUUCAGCUCAUCCCACAGCCUGUGCCGUCACAACCGGAUCAAGCACAAAGGCAUCAGGAAAGUUUAUACCUGCUCGCACUGCCCAGACUCCAGGCGCACCUUCACAAAACGGUUGAUGCUGGAGAAACAUAUCCAGCUCAUGCACGGAAUUAAGGAUCCUGACUUGAAAGAAAUGACAGAAGCCACCAAUGAGGAGGAAGCAGAAAUAAAAGAAGACACCAAGGUUCCCAGCCCCAAGCGGAAGUUGGAAGAGCCUGUUUUAGAGUUCAGGCCUCCCCGAGGAGCCAUCACUCAGCCCCUGAAGAAGCUCAAGAUCAAUGUCUUCAAGGUGCACAAAUGCGCCGUGUGCGGCUUCACCACCGAGAACCUGCUGCAGUUCCACGAGCACAUCCCGCAGCACAAGUCGGACGGCUCGUCCCACCAGUGCCGAGAGUGUGGCCUCUGCUACACGUCGCACGUCUCCCUGUCCCGGCACCUCUUCAUCGUCCACAAACUGAAGGAGCCGCAGCCGGCGGCCAAGCAGAACGGGGCCGGCGAGGAGAACCAGCAGGAGAACAAACCGGGCCCCGAGGAUGAGCCAGCCGACGGCCCUGCGUCAGACCGAACAUGCAAAGUGUGUGCAAAGACGUUCGAGACGGACGCUGCCUUAAACGCUCACAUGCGGACUCACGGCAUGGCCUUCAUCAAAUCCAAAAGAGUGAGCUCGGCUGAGAAAUAGCCAGGCACCCUCCACAAGGAGAAUCCCUCUCCACAUUGGAAGAAAAAAGACAUUUUUGUUACAGAAAGUUUGCAGUAUCAUAGAGUUAACAGUACUGUCUAGGCUGUUGCAAUAUAUCCUCUCUCCAAGUCCCUUCUCCACCUCCGCCUGUAUAUCCUCCUCCUCGAUAAGUAUUAAAACAGUAUUUGAGUUUAAAAGAGUUUGUAUAUAUUUAAAUGAAUAACUUUUUAUACUCUUUGUUACAUGUUUGUAUCAGUAUUUAGUGGAAAAUGUUUUGAAGUGUUUCUGUUUUUUUUUUCUUUUUAGUUUUUUUUUUUUUUUUUUUUUAAUUUGGGUUAGGUUUUUUUCUUUUUGUACUGUUUCUUUAAAUCAGAGUUCUUAGUAACAGGGGCAGUUACUGAAUCAAAUAAACCAUUUUGUAUGUCACAGAUUUGAAUGGGUUAACUAAUUACAGGCUACAAUAAUGCCUUUUUUAGUGUUUUUAAUUUUUAGAGUUCACUACAUAAACUGUAGGUGACUGUAGGUCUCAAAAACACUAGGGACUUUUAAGUGUCUUAGCACUAUCCUCAAUGUGCCUGCUCCGCCAGGGAUGCCCGGCCCCGCCAGGAACGCAUUCCCGGCGUGUGGCGUUUUCUCCAGGCCAUGCCAAACGGUGUUGACAGCAGCCUUGCAGAUCGCUUCUUUCCCAGUGGGGGAUGAAAACUUGGGUCAGAAAUCCAGUAAGGCACACGGAUUUCCUUCAUUCCAUCUCAGACCGGGGAAGAAGGGUAUCUUAAAGGGAAAAAAGCAGGGACCAGUGGUUUUCUGGGCAGAUUUGCAAGGCUGGCUUCUAAAAGAGCACAAGGAGAUAAAGUGAAGAAAGGGCUGGACUACUGUAAAAGUUACAAAUACAUAGUUAGACCAAUAGAUUUAUAUAGUCACGUUUUUGUCAUGUAAUUUAUUAACUAUUACAAAAACACAACUAAAAGUAUGAAGUAUUUCUCUGGCUCUUGACAGAAAAAAAAAAAAAAAUCACAGUUGACUUAACCCUUUGCUGUCUAUAAAGAGUUGGCGUUUCCUGUUCUGGGUGCUACUGCCAAACAUCCUGGUACUUAGAGUUGGGAUGCACAACUUCUGCCACCCACUUAUCAAUGCAGCACUGGUGUGGCACAAUUGGCUGUUCGAUUCCACACUGAGCCACCUGGGUUUAGUUCAGUCAUUUCAAUAAGUAUCUGUAAUACCGGUAGUUCCGCUUUCUUAGUGCAGCCAAGGUACUUCUUCUGUCCCUUCCAAACGUUUAUAGUUGUCCGGGAGAGUUCUAUUUUUUGGUUUUUGUUUCGUGUUUUCUUUUGCAUUUUAUAUCUUGUAUUUAUCCCUAAACAUGUUUUGUACUUUUUUUUUUUUUUUUAAAGAAAAGAAAUCCUUUUGUGUAUAUAUAGAUAUACUUGCAUGAUAUACUGUAGUCGAUGUUCGGUUCCUCCAAAGGUCUUGCUGCUGUCAGGUGUCAUGCACUAACCACAUCCAUCAUAACUGUAUUAAACACAUUUCAUAUGUAAAUAAAAGUGGGACAUUUGGCCCUCGUG